rnacentral:lncRNA from 1 species
CUGGAUUCACGUGGCCUCUUUCUCAGGCCAGUGCUCUUGCUUCCCCACCACUCUGUCUCUGCCCCCAGCCCCUGAUGUUUAAUUCAAAUGGAGCUAAUCCUCCUCUUGUUUUAUCUCUUCUACCUGUUAGGAAAAGAUGUCCUUUGAAAAUAAGGUCCCUGUUCACAGAAUCCUGCAAGAAGCUGUGGCCACAGAAGGAGAGAGCAUGUGGAGCCCAAACCUCACCCCUGGGGAUGUCAGAUCCAUCAGUUCCUGAGUCUCAUGUCUUCAUCUUUCUUCAAUGUGUGGGGAAGCACAUCUUUCAUCGGCUUCCUAAGAAAGUGCAUGGAAGGCUCGAGCCAGUUUUCAGAUCUGGAACCCACUAACUGAAGAAGUGACUGGUCCCUAGGAGGAAGGACCUUGCAACCCCAUGACUAGUAUCUACUGAGAUGAUGCCUCCAGUCCUU